CAUAGAUUGGUCCGGUGGUGUAGAUAUCUCUAGUUUGAAAUAUAGACUUGGAUUGGUCCUCAUAGAUUGGUCCGGUGGUGUAGAUAUCUCUAGUUUGAAUCUUCUCAACAUCAAUUCUUGUGAUUAGUUUAUAUGUAAUCUUGUUCUGACUUUAAAUAGAACUUUCGUUGGAAAUAGUAGAAUCGAUCCACUGAAUUAAUCAGCCCUCAAUAAAAUUGAUCACCA
rnacentral:lncRNA from 1 species